UACGGAGGGUGCGAGCGUUGUUCGGAAUCACUGGGCGUAAAGCGCGUGUAGGCGGCCCACUAAGUCUGAUGUGAAAGCCCGGGGCUCAACCCCGGAACUGCCUUUAAGACUGCAUCGCUUGAAUCCAGGAGAGGUGAGUGGAAUUCCCGGUGUAGUGGUGAUAUGCGUAGAUAUCGGGAGGAACACCAGUGGCGAAGGCGGCUCUCUGGGCCUUUCCUGACGCUGAGACGCGAAAGCGUGGGGAGCGAACCGG
rnacentral:rRNA from 1 species